CCGGGCCGGGAAGCGAGGCGGGAACGUGCCCCGCGGUCAGAGUGAACGGAGAAGGGUGACACCGCGACAGGACGCGAUAAGAAAACCUGAUGCCCCGAGCACGUUAGUUUUGGAGAAGCACGUGGUCUGUAUAGCUUCGUAUGGGACAUUGAAAGGCGACUGUGACUAAAAUAAUGCCCUGCUUAGGGGCGCAGUCUAUCGGGAGUGUUUGAGGAUGAACAGUGUUUCCUGGGGGCAGACAGCAGCAGAUCUCGUGGGACGGCUGCACCGAAUGAAGACAGACAAAUUCUGGCAUUCAUCAAACUAUGUCAGGAUGAAUGUGGUGGAAUAAGUGCCAGCAGAGGUCACGAUCCUCAUCUUCUGUUGACCCUUAGCACGUCCAGGUAAAUGUAACAGCGUAGUUGUUGAAACAACCACUUUUAGUUAAUGAUUUUGAUGAUUGCAGACUUACGAACUGGGUGCUGUUAGAUGCCAAUGGCAAAAACUAUUUCAGUACGUUAUUGAAAAAAAAAUAAUGUAACAGGCAAAACUUUAGGAUUCGUCUUCUAAAAAAAUUGUCAGAUGUGGGAACAUUGUGCUUUUAAUGAUGAUCAUCAACUGGUGAUGUCUGCAUUCUUCAUGAAUUUUGUAGCAGUCUUCUCAAAAUAUUUCUUAGCUAUAGGCUUUAAUGGAAUUUUAUAGAUAAUCACUUUUUUUAUUUUACGAAUACUUCUUGGUGUACAUUGAGGUGAAAGAUGCGUAUGGCCAGAGGAAGAGUAAAGGUUUGGAUUUUAUAGAUAUUUAUACACACAGAAAUACAUAUUACCGUAUAUUAAAAUAUAUUUAAAUAAUUAUGUAAUGAUUGUAUGAACUAUACAUUUAUUUAAUACAUAUACUUUUUAUACGCGUAGUGUGUUUACACUUUAGUACUAUACAAAAGAAAUGUUGUAGUCAGUACUUCGGCUGUUCCUCACAUCUGCUCUUUUUUAAUCUGUAUAACUUGCAAAUUAUACCAGUCUGUUGAGCAUUUUAUUUAUUUAAUUGGUGCCUACUUUCCUGCUGAGAAAAAAGGACUUACGUCUUGAUCUUACUUGUUCACCGUAGCUAUCUCUACUGUACAUUAAAUUUCUC